UACGUAGGGGGCAAGCGUUGUCCGGAAUUAUUGGGCGUAAAGCGCGCGCAGGCGGUUCCUUAAGUCUGAUGUGAAAGCCCACGGCUCAACCGUGGAGGGUCAUUGGAAACUGGGGAACUUGAGGACAGAAGAGGAGAGUGGAAGUCCACGUGUAGCGGUGAAAUGCGUAGAUAUGUGGAGGAACACCAGUGGCGAAGGCGACUCUCUGGUCUGUUUCUGACGCUGAGGUGCGAAAGCGUGGGUAGCAAACAGG
rnacentral:rRNA from 1 species